GCCUUCGUGGUGCAAUGGUCAGCACGCUCGGCGCGUAUUCGAGAAGUCCGUGGUUCGAGUCCCGGCGAGGGCA
rnacentral:tRNA from 1 species